rnacentral:rRNA from 1 species
UACGUAGGGCGCAAGCGUUGUCCGGAUUUAUUGGGCGUAAAGAGCUCGUAGGCGGCUUGUUGCGUCGGCUGUGAAAACCCGUGGCUUAACUGCGGGCUUGCAGCUGAUACGGGCGGGCUAGAGUUCGGUAGGGGAGACUGGAAUUCCUGGUGUAGCGGUGAAAUGCGCAGAUAUCAGGAGGAACACCGGUGGCGAAGGCGGGUCUCUGGGCCGGUACUGACGCUGAGGUGCGAAAGCGUGGGGAGCAAACAGG